GACGAACGCUGGCGGCGUGCCUAAUACAUGCAAGUAGAACGCAGUUGCGACCGGGUGAGUAACGCGUAGGUAACUGCCUGGUAGCGGGGGAUAACUAUUGGAAACGAUAGCUAAUACCGCAUACUACCAGAUUGACCUGCGUUGUAUUAGCUCGUUGGUGAGGUAACGGCUCACCAAGGCAACGAUACAUAGCCGACGUUGGAGGGUGAGCGGCCAAACUGGGACUGGGAAAAGGGCCAGACGCCCACGGGAGGGAGCAGUAGGGAAUCUUCGGCAAUGGGGGGAACGCUGACCGAGCAACGCCGCGUGAGUGAAGAAGGGUUUUGGAUCGUAAAGCUCUGUUGGUAAGGGAGCGGUACUUAACCAGAAAGGGACGGCUAACUACGUGCCAGCAGCCGCGGUAAUUC
rnacentral:rRNA from 1 species